AGAACGAACGCUGGCGGCGUGGAUAAGACAUGCAAGUCGAGCGCUGAUUAAAGGAUAGCAAUAUUCUUUAAUUGGAGCGGCGCAAGGGUGCGUAACACGUGGGUAAUUUGCCAUGAAGUUGGGGAUAACUCGCUGAAAGGCGAGCUAAUACCGAAUGUGGCCCGAUGGAGGCAUCUCUAUUUGGCUAAAGCUGGGGACCGCAAGGCCUGGCGCUACAUGAUAAACCCGCGGCCUAUCAGCUAGUUGGUGAGGUAACGGCCCACCAAGGCUAAGACGGGUAGCUGGUCUGAGAGGACGACCAGCCACACUGGAACUGAGACACGGUCCAGACACCUACGGGUGCAGCAGUCGAGUAAUUUUCACAAUGGGGAAACCCUGAUGGAGCGACGCCGCGUGGGGAUGAUGGCUUCGGCCCGUAACCCUGUCAUUUGUGUACUAAACCUUUUCAUUUAACAGACGAAAGCUGAUUGUAGCAGAAGAGGAAGGACGGCUAACGU
rnacentral:rRNA from 1 species